rnacentral:lncRNA from 1 species
AACAUUGAACUGUCCCUGUUUGGUUUUGUGGUGAAUUAACAAAGCACACUUAUAAAUCUGAUUAAAUGUGGUUAGCCUUUUAGUCAUUCUUUUUAAAAAGUUCUCUUCCAGCCUUCCUCUCUGCUCUUUCCUGCCCGUGUGGGAGGUUAGAGGUGACCUCACUGAGUCCCCCACGUCAUUUGUGAGGUAGGAUGUUUACCUGACUAACAGUCGAGCCCUAGGCGUCCUCCUGUCCCUGCUUCCCAAGUGCUGGGAUUCUCGGUGUGUGCUACUUUACUCAGCUCUUUGUAAAGAUUCUGGAAGAAGCAACUCAGGUCUCUCGGGCACUGCACUAACGGAGCCCCUCCCCAGCUCUCCGUCUUCCUUUUAACCUCAGUGACAGACAGGGUGUCUUAUGUUAAUGUGACCAGAAGAGGAAUGAUUUUGAAAUUUGUUGGCUGGCUUUUUAAAUAAUAAUAUUAGGAAAAUAUUUGUUUCUGAGUGAAGAUAAUGGGAUAAUUAACUAAACUGGUAGUUUUGGAGGCAGUUGUUUUGGAAAGUAUCUUUGUCUAUUUAUUUAACGUGCUGUAGUAAAUUUAGUACAAUAGGAAGUAGAAAUUCAUCCAUCACACUCCUGGUGGCUGAGAAGGGUGAAGAGUAAGACACAGCAGGUUUGGUGUCAAAGGGCUUGUGCCUCCUAAAUGUCCCUUCUUGUCCUUUCUUCACACAGGCCUCAUUUGUAUUUUCCAUGGUUCUGGAGAUUAAGCCCCGGACUGGCCUUUACAUACGCUAGGGGAGCCUUAUCCCACUGAGCACAUCUUUAGCUCUCUUUUAUUUAUGUCUUUUUGAGGUAAUGUUGCUUAGGCUGGCUUCUUGAACUUGCUGUGUAGCCCAAGCUGGCCUUUAAUUCACAGUUCCUCUUCGUUCUGCACCUCCAUGUGCUAAAAUUCGAGGCAUGGGCCAUCAUGUUCAUUUCACUUGGGCCUCUUAGGACAUAAUCAUUCUUUGAGGGCUCUAUAACCUGAUUUCCAUUCUUGUAAAACCUUCAAUGAGGGCUAAGUUUCAACAUAUGAAUAGGGUGUCUUUGUUAUAUGUAGGUAGAGUAUGUUUGCUCUAUUCCAGUAGCACCAUAUGUCUGAAGUCUAGAGUCGUUUCAUUCUCAUCUAAGUGAGCAUAGGCGAGAGUCAAGAUGCUGUUCAUCUUGAGGCAAGUUGCCCAGCUGUGAAUUUGUGAAAUUAAGUUAUCUGCUCCUAAGAUGCAAGUUUGGGGCAGGCAGAAGAUAAGCAUUCCUAUUCCUAAAAGGUGAGAAAGAGGAAAGAAGAAAGGGAUUGUAGGUGUUGCAUAAGGAAAUCCAAAGCCCAGCAGUGUAAAAUAGUGUAUCUUAAGGCUCAUGAAUAACGAGUUUUACUCCACAUCUUGCCUUUCACACCCCCUGGUGUAGAAUUUGAGCUUUUAAAACUUUGGCAGUCUUGGUGUUAAUAGCUCUGCUGGGUGGGUGCAGCCUGUGUGGCAUGGGUUGGAAUGCUGGUCUGUGGCUCUUCCAGGCUAGAGUCAAAAGUUUGGCCACCCAAACCCUUCUUUUGACAGGAUCUUUUCCAAGCUAUGGGUUUCUGAGCCUGACAGGAGGAGGAGUACCCAUAACUUCCUGAAUGCCUUUGUGGCUAUUUCUGUUACCUUGAUGGCUUCAUCUCUGGCCCCUACGAAUCUGUUAAAAAAAUCGUCAUAGAUCUGUGGGAGUUGCUUUCCCAGACAUACAUUCUCAUUCUUUACAUCAUGGCCAGGAAGAAGCUCCCAAAUAACAUGUUUGCUUUCCUUUUGAUUGUAAAUUUCAUCUUUAAGUCACUUUUCUAUUUGGAUUUACUCGGAUGCUGUCAAGAGAAGCCAUGCUGUGGUUCCUGCUUUUGUUUACAUAGUUCAUCAGCCAGACAUCUAAUUUUACCACUCAUGAAUCCUAUUUCCUGUAAAACGUCAGGAUAGGACUCAGUUCAUAAUGGCUCUUUACCACUUUUUAUUUUUAUUUUCAUUGCUGUAUGUGGAACCCGGAUCCUCGAGCAUGCUGGACUGUUUUCUGCUAUUGCACAGUAGUCCUUGCUUCUCUGUAACAGGCUCUGUGUUCUUCCCGUUGGCAGUGACAUGUUCCUCAUUUCUGCGACCUCAUCGGAAUGACCUUUACUGUUCAUAUUUCUAUCAACAUUUCAUUCAAAAGCAUCUGUGUAAUCUCUGAGAAGACAGAGGCAGUCUGUGUAGUGAGCUUCUGUGCGGUCGCUUUAGAAUCAUCCAGAAGGCUCUGUUCAUAGCGACAAGGCUUUUUUUACACACAUGUCUAGAUUCUUCCAUCUUGUACCUAUUACCCAGUUCCAAAGUUGCUUCUGCAGUUAGAUUUAUGUUAUAACAACAACUCUACUCUUUGGUCCUAGCUUCUGUCUUUGUUUGGGCUACUAUAACAACAUAUGCAGAUGUGAAGGCUGGUCUGUAUAGGUGGUGCUUUCUUGGGCUACUAUAACAACAUAUGCAGAUGUGAAGGCUGGUCUGUAUAGGUGGUGCUUUCUUGGUACCUUACCCUGAUAGACCAGUUGUCUACAUUGUUUUUGUUAUUUUGGGGAAUAUUUUUUGAGAUUGGCUUUCCAUAUUUUACUCAGAGUGACUUCAAACUCAAGCUUAUCCUUUUCCCACACCCUGGAGAGCUAGGAUUAUAGGCUCAGCACCACAGUGCUUUUCUACUUCUAUAUAUUUUCAUUUAUUCUCCCUGCCUUUUCUUUGUCCAUACAUACAUAUAAUUGGGGGGACAUGAAGAGAAACAUUUGAUGCUUAGUUGCAGUCAUAGUGCCCUGUCCCAGGAUGCCUCAGGGUACCUUUAAGAGUAAGAGCUAACAUCUUUAAGUGGUAAUAUAAAUUUUAACUCUAGGACACUUAACAUCAAAAUAGUACUAAACUAUACUCCAUGCCUAUAUUUAAAGUUUGCUAGUAGUAGUUGCUCAAAUAAUUCAUGUAUAUUUUUUUGUUUGCUUGUAAUUUUUAUGAUUGCUCAACUGUAUCUACAUCUACUUGCAUGCCAGAAGAGGGCAUCAGAUACCCAUUACAGAUGGUUGUGAGCCACCAUAUGGUUGCUGGGAAUUGAACUUAGGACCUCUGACAGAGCAGCCAGUGCUCUUAAUUGCUGAGCCAUCUCUUCAGCCCCCAAUUCAUGUAUUAAUAAUUUUCAAAGUGGUGCUUUCCUUAUCUUCUUUGGACUUAAGUGUAGGGAGUUUUCAAUACUUUAAUCUUCGUAAAUUGUAUAUUGUGUUUUGUAUGCUGAGGCAUGUAUAUCUCAUGUCUAACUCAUUUGAGUUGCUUGGUUUUCAGUACAUAUUUACAAGUCUUUUCUAGAAAUAUAUUUUAAAAAUGUUUUUGGAAAAUAUUGUAAAAUUUAAGCUCAUACAGAUAUAUUAUAGAAUGAUAUGGAAAAAUUUCAUCCUAUGGAAGUAUACCAUAGGAUUUAAAGAUUAUUUUACCUCUCAAAUAUAGAGAUAACUGGUCCAAAUUUGUUCCCAUAUACAUAAUAAAGUGGCAUGCCUCUUUAUUGGGUUGAUGUUUUGGGGAAAAUCACCACAGCUCUAUAAUAAGAAAACUACCCAUAACUAGUGACGGUUAUAAUAAUGAAAAUGUCAGGAGUUCAUGCCUGUCAUCCCAGCACUUGGAGGAUAGAGACAGGUAGCUCUCCCGGUCAACCGAGUAGUCUAAGGCCAGCCUGGGUUACGUGAGCUCGU